rnacentral:lncRNA from 1 species
CCAGACAACUAAAGGGUCAAGGAGAAAACCAAGGAUAUGGAAGCAGAGCAAGGGUCUGAUCACAUUUCUCAUUGACUUUGGGAGCCCAUUGAUCGGGGGCCAGUAGAGACCAGCUGCAAUGUCUGGUAAUGCUGCUGAAAUUGUUCUGAGGAGUAGCAACCAGGUGAGGGAAUUCUCCAAAAUCCAAGACAAGAACUCCUCCACAAAUUGUGACUUCAAAUCAUUGUGAAUGAGACCAGCGUGCAUCAGCAGAACAUCUGAUGGCCAACUAUCAGUAGGUGCAUCUGAUUGGAUCUGGUCACAGAAGAUACUUUGCGAAGUAUUCGGAUGAAUCAACAACCGAGAAUCACCGCCAGGAAGGAGGAACUGCCACACCUUCCUUUGUUUAUGUUUCCUAGCUGUGGCCUACACAAACCCACAUUCAGCCUGACAGAGAGCGGGAUCGGUGCUUUCCGGAACCUACUGAAAAACUGGUAUUAUGAUUAUAUUUUCAUGUUCCAGACUUAUUGAAAUGGCUUUUAGUCCCUAUGCUAAGGUCAAAGGUUUAAUGGAUGCUUAAAAAAUCUAUUAUUUUUAUUUCCUACAUUUGAGUAUUUGCCUGCACAUGUGUAUGUGUACCACGUGUAUCGCUGAUGAUGGCAGAGUCCAGAAGAGGGUGUUGGAUCCCCUGCAGCUGGAGUCACAGAUGGUUGUGAGCCUCCUGAUGUGAGUGCUGAGAACUGAACCCAGGUCCUCUGGAAGAGCAGCAAGUGCUCUUAACUACUGAGCACCUUAUAGGUGUCUAAUAAUACUUUUUAAUCACGUGACAUUUUGCUCAAGUCUUCUUUAAACUAGUAUGUUGGCUUAUAUUUACCCAUUCUCAAUUUUCUUAGUUUUCCAGGAAGGGAGAAAAACCCACUUUUAACAUUUUAAAUUUAAAUUUAAAUUUAAAUUUUAACAUUUAAAUGAAUACUAGCCUUCAAAGAAACUCUAAUAAUCACAAGGUAAGAGGUAAAUAUGGGGGUGAACAGCAACAGCGAGCAGUAGACAAGUAACUCAACACUAGAGGUCCCUCUCUUCUUAAGAUCUAAAGGCCUGCCCUGUCUGGGAUCUUAGCCAGCUUCAGUGGCUUCUGACUGGGAACAGAAAGUGAGGAGCAAAGGAAAUCUGAACCAGAGAAUUCUUUGUGGCAUUGCAAAUUAGAUCUCAGGCAGCAGAGGCCUGCAUCACUGAGUUCUGGCUCGCCCACAAAGUAUUUGCUCCCCAACUCUCAGCCCCAGCUUCAUUUUGUUCUAUUUCUAUCUGCUUCUUAAUUUAGCCAUGUGACU